ACGUUAGCGGCGGACGGGUGAGUAACACGUGGGUAACCUACCUAUAAGACUGGGAUAACUCCGGGAAACCGGGGCUAAUACCGGAUAACACAUGAAACCGCAUGGUUUCAUGAUGAAAGACGGUUUUGCUGUCACUUAUAGAUGGACCCGCGGCGUAUUAGCUAGUUGGUAAGGUAACGGCUUACCAAGGCAACGAUACGUAGCCGACCUGAGAGGGUGAUCGGCCACACUGGAACUGAGACACGGUCCAGACUCCUACGGGAGGCAGCAGCG
rnacentral:rRNA from 1 species